UUAGUGUUGAACAAUUGUUAUAAAUACCAAGAGGGCGCUUCAUGAAGACUUGCGCGCCUCAGGGUAUUCUCGAGAAGAUGCACACAAGGUGUGUGGCGUCGCCCCAUCAACAAGAUAGAGAGAUCUUUUGAUGGUUUUGUAGAAGAGCCACACUAGUCGGAAAAGACAAUUAGUGGUAGUCUUCUUUCAUUGUAAUUCUAGGAAAGAGUUGGUGGAUUCCAUAUAGCAAUUGUAGGUUGCGGACUUUUCUAGUUAAUGAAAUCUGGACUAGGUCCCGGGGAUGUAGGUUAUCCGAACCCCGUUAACAAAGCUUGUGCCUUAUUUACUUUAUGCUCAUACAUACUCGAAGUAGAUCAUACACAUAGUUGAAUUAGUCACACUCACACAUAUGCACUUUCAGAUUCCACUCAGCUUCUUCUGCGUUUGAUUCAUAUGGAAGAUACCGGAGGUUCUAAAACCUCUUCAUAACCACUGGCGUUUGCAUAUUAAUAUUAUCAUGAAUUUCCCAUAUUUUCUACGUAUUUUUCUUUAAAAAUAGUUGACCUUUUUUACUUUUAAAAAAAAAAUAUUAUUA
rnacentral:lncRNA from 1 species